GGAGCAGACAGAGCCCAAGCCAGAGCUGCCAGACACCUCGGGCUGCACUGACGGACUGGGACUUCUGUGUGCUCU